CUACGGGUCGCUGCAGUGGGGAAUAUUGCACAAUGGGCGCAAGCCUGAUGCAGCCAUGCCGCGUGUAUGAAGAAGGCCUUCGGGUUGUAAAGUACUUUCAGCGGGGAGGAAGGGAGUAAAGUUAAUACCUUUGCUCAUUGACGUUACCCGCAGAAGAAGCACCGGCUAACUCCGUGCCAGCAGCCGCGGUAAUACGGAGGGUGCAAGCGUUAAUCGGAAUUACUGGGCGUAAAGCGCACGCAGGCGGUUUGUUAAGUCAGAUGUGAAAUCCCCGGGCUCAACCUGGGAACUGCUUCUGAUACUGGCAAGCUUGAGUCUCGUAGAGGGGGGUAGAAUUCCAGGUGUAGCGGUGAAAUGCGUAGAGAUCUGGAGGAAUACCGGUGGCGAAGGCGGCCCCCUGGACGAAGGCUGACGCUCAGGUGCGAAAGCGUGGGGAGCAAACAGGAUUAGAUACCCCCGUAGUC
rnacentral:rRNA from 1 species